UAAUACGAAGGGGGCUAGCGUUGCUCGGAAUGACUGGGCGUAAAGGGCGCGUAGGCGGAUGGUACAGUCAGAUGUGAAAUUCCCGGGCUUAACCUGGGGGCUGCAUUUGAUACGUAUUGUCUUGAGUUCGGAAGAGGGUCGUGGAAUUUCCAGUGUAGAGGUGAAAUUCGUAGAUAUUGGAAAGAACACCGGUGGCGAAGGCGGCGACCUGGUCCGACACUGACGCUGAGGCGCGAAAGCGUGGGGAGCAAACAGGAUUAGAUACCCUGGUAGUCCACGCUGUAAACGAUGUGUGCUGGAUGUUGGGUGACUUAGUCACUCAGUGUCGUAGCUAACGCGAUAAGCACACCGCCUGGGGAGUACGGCCGCAAGGUUG
rnacentral:rRNA from 1 species